AUAUAUCCAGUGGUGGGUGAGGUUUGGGUGAACCCCUAGCUGUGAUCUCUAGCUGGGCCCGUCCACCCACCCUUGUGCUCUGCUUUCCCUAAAUAACUAACUUUUCCCCCACCCAAGCUGCCCAGGUGAGUU